rnacentral:hammerhead_ribozyme from 1 species
AUCCAGUUGACGAGCCCCAUAUAGGACGAAAGGCACGUCUUGGAU